UCAAACGCGCCCUGACAGGACAUGGUCUCCUCCUCCUCCUGUUGCUCUCCCGGCGGCUCCCCUUCCACCGGGACACAGAGGAGGAAAAAUCCAAGCGAAGCAAAGGCGAGGAGCAACAAGCGAGCCUGUGUCCACGCCAUCUUUCCAGGAGGAGUCAGCCCUGGAGGAGUGUUGCUCUGCUCAAGCCGGGCUCUUCAAGACUUCUCUUUCGGCUGACGGGGAAAAGAAAAAAAAAAAAAAGCAUGAAAGCGGGGCAGGAUGAAGGAGAUGCGAGAGGAGAACCGAGAGGAGGAGAGGAGCGACACCCGAGGAGAGAUGCAAAACUUCACUUUUUCCAUUUAUUUCCAAAGAAAAAGAAAUCCUCUGUUCAAAUUCGGGGGCAGAUUGCCACAAUUUGUGGAUUACGCAUAACGCACAAACAUAACAAAAAUACAUUUGCACGACA